UCUAAAAAACGCUGGGUUGUUUUUUCAACCCAACUGCUGGGUUGAGGCCGUUGGAUAGGACUUUGGGAUGUUUUAACCCAAGUUUGGGUUGAAAAUAAGGUUUAAAAAAAAAUUUUUUUAACCCAGCGGUCUGGGUUGAGGACGCGGACGUGAAGGAGAGCACGCACGUCACGUCAAGAUCGUACGUCUCCAGUGCGAGCAGCCGCCAUUUUCUCAGCGUGAUAGAAGCGAGAAGCGAGUGAAAGACUAUGACUUGUCCAGCUCCUGUCUUCAUUGUCCUCGCGCCGAGAGUUAAAGACACAGAAGCUGUUUGUGUGAGGAGUCACAGACCUGUGUGAGGAUGAGGAGGAGGAGGUGUUCUUCUGAAGAGUGGGACAGACGGUUUAAGGAGAGUAAACUUCAGAAUAACAUCAAGUUAUCUUUAUUUUUACUAAGACUAAAGUAAUGUUGUUUUUUUAGAUGUUGCAAUCCAGAGACAAGAUAACUUCAUUCUUUUGAGACUGAUAACUCAAACUAACUGGAGUUAAGGACACACAAGUGCUUGUGUGAGGAGGUGGUUUUCUCAGCUUCUUUGGAAGAGAGGGAAAGAUCGUUUAAGGCAAGUAAACUUCAUAAUUUCAUGUUAUCAGUUGUUGUUGUGUUUUACUAAGAGUAAAAUAAUAUUUGUUUUUGUAGAUGUUAAAAGCAAGAGACAUGGGAGAGCAUCAUUCCUUUGAGAUUUUAUAAAUCAAACCAACUUUGGAGUUGUCUGAUUUGGAGAGUCAUUAUUCUUGGUCUGCGCUCUUAGAGGCCACUGAUGAAGAACAGGCGGUGACUGGGAUGAAUCCUGGUCAGAGAGGAGAAUCUUCUUUCCCCUAAACUGAUGCAGCAGUGGUUUUAAAGGAGGACGCUGCCCUGGAUGAUGUAGAAGAUGUCACAUGCUGUGCUGAUGGGGUUUCUUCAUGAUUACAUCAGUUAUGCUAAAGAGAUCAUGAAAAUUGACCGUGAUGCAUGAUCUGUAUUCAUGGACUAUGAAACAAACUGUAAGUGUAUAAUUUGUUAAAAAAAAAAAGUUAAAUGCUUUUUCUGUGUUGUUUAGUAGAAGAGUUUACACUCUGUCAUUCAUACACCUGCUCACAUUCUUUCACACACACACACACACACAUGCGUCUGUUAAAUGUUAUAAUAUCAAAGUUAAUGUUGUGAUUUAUUUGUGUACUGUCAUGCCAGAAUAGUUGGAAAAAAACCUAAUUCAGUUAUAUUCAUCAAAUGUCCAAUGCUUUGUUUAUGUACUCUGUAGCUGUUAAUGCCAUCCUUUUCUGCAUUUCUUCUAACAUGUUACUUUUUGACUUUUCUCUUGUUUUUAAUAAAUAUUUUCCUUUUGAUAAUUAUUAUUUGUGUGUAAAAGUGAUAUUUAAAAUGAACAACAUUUGUAGGUUUAAUGCCUAGCUCAAUUUGGGUUAAUUUUAACGUAGAAAUGCAUCGUUUCCCCAC